UACGGAGAGUGCAAGCGUUGUUCGGAAUUACUGGGCGUAAAGCGCACGUAGGCGGCCCUGCAAGUCUGGUGUGAAAUCCCUGGGCUCAACCCAGGACGUGCACUGGAUACUGCGAGGCUUGAGUACUGGAGGGGGAAGCGGAAUUCCGAGUGUAGAGGUGAAAUUCGUAGAUAUUCGGAGGAACACCAGUGGCGAAGGCGGCUUCCUGGACAGAUACUGACGCUGAGGUGCGAAAGCGUGGGGAGCAAAC
rnacentral:rRNA from 1 species